AUAUUACUCCCUCCGUCCCAAAAUUCUUGUCUUACAUUUGUCUAGAUACAGAUGUAUCUAACACUAAAACGUAACUAGAUACAUCCGUAUUUAGACAAAUCUAAGACAAGAAUUUUGGGACGGAGGGAAUAGUUU
rnacentral:pre_miRNA from 1 species